rnacentral:rRNA from 1 species
GACGAACGCUGGCGGCGUGCUUAACACAUGCAAGUCGAACGGUAAGGCCCUUCGGGGUACACGAGUGGCGAACGGGUGAGUAACACGUGGGUGCUCUGCCCUGCACUUCGGGAUAAGCCUGGGAAACUGGGUCUAAUACCGGAUACGACCACUGCCUGCAUGGGUGUUGGUGGAAAGCUUUUGCGGUGUGGGAUGGGCCCGCGGCCUAUCAGCUUGUUGGUGGGGUGAUGGCCUACCAAGGCGACGACGGGUAGCCGGCCUGAGAGGGUGACCGGCCACACUGGGACUGAGAUACGGCCCAGACUCCUACGGGAGGCAGCAGUGGGGAAUAUUGCACAAUGGGCGCAAGCCUGAUGCAGCGACGCCGCGUGAGGGAUGACGGCCUUCGGGUUGUAAACCUCUUUCAGCACCGACGAAGCGCAAGUGACGGUAGGUGCAGAAGAAGGACCGGCCAACUACGUGCCAGCCGCCGCGGUAA